GUCAAUUGCGACACUAAUGACAAAAAUCGCAGUUGUGCUACCUGUCACAUUGCCUCGCCACGCAAGACACUUAGUUUCAAGAGCUUAGCAGAAUGUAAGGCUGGGUGCAAGGCAUAAGUUAACUCGAGGCGUGCAAAUAGCACUGAAUAAACGUUUUAUUUAUCACGUAAUUUAUCUGCUUCCGAUUUUAACUACAAUACAGAAUCUUAUUUUGAGUCCAAUAAAUCAAAUUUAUGCCUAUUGUAUAUGUGUUUAGAGAUUUCCAUAUUCUACGUAAUACAAAAUAGUUUAACCUAUUUCUCUCCUUUUGUUUUGUUUGACUAUUAAUAUUUUUUUAAGAAAAUAUAUCUUCUGUAUAAUUACUAAGAAUAAGUUUUUUAAACUGAAUAGUUUGUAAUAAUGGUAAAUGGUAAGUUUUUUUUUCUAUUUCCUUAUACGCCAUAUACUACUUGUGAGUUAGGAAAAAACAUAGAUCAAAGAGUAAACGUAGAGAUUUUCUUAUUAGUCUUCACAAUCACUUAAAACAAUAAUAAAAACUUAUAUUACUCUUUUAUCUUAGACUUUUUGUUAUCUUGUUUAAUAGGAAGACAAUGAAAAUAGAACAAAAAGAGAAAGACUCAUUAGCAUAAACGCUCUAAGUAUUGCUACAAAAUUACGUAAAGGACUUUACAUAACCAAAUAUAAACAGAGUAGGUACAUCAGAUUUCAAAGACAAGAACUAACAAAAGCAACGAGAUGGUUCUGCAAAGUGACAAUGCUAACACAGGAACCAAACUUGGUCUCGCCGGUCUUGGCUACUCUUUGAUGGAUAUGUAACAUCCCGAUUUUUGGGGAUGCAAUCAUUAAAAGAAAUAAACCUGGUAAGUUGUCUGAAGCUAAUAUGGAGGAUUCUCUCUUCUAAUUUGGUAUGGGUUAAUUGGAUAAAUAUAUACCUUAUUAGAAAAGGUUCACUAUGGACGGGUAAGGAGAACAUUCAAUUAGGUUCUUGGAUGUGGAAAAAAAUUCUCAUGUGUAGAGAUAUUGGUAAGAGCUUGUACCGAGUAGAUAUAAGAAAUGGUAGGAAAACAUCUUUCUUGCAUGAAGCUUGGUCGCCACUGGGUUGUCUUCAGGAUAUGCUGAGGGAAGGAAACUAUAUUGAUAUGGGAAUUCCUAUAAAUGCAACCGUUGAUGUGAGUAGGAAGCAAAGAAGACAGCAUCAUCGAAUUCAUAUCUUGAAUAAUGUAGAAGAUGAGAUUGCGAGGUAUAAGGCAAACUUUGUUAAUGAAGAAGAUGUUUCCUUAUGGAAGAAUGGGACAUGACAAUACAAAAUGAACUUCUCAACGAGUGAAACAUGGAAGGUGAUUAGAAAAGAGUAUAUUGCUUGAAAUUGGUACAAAGAGAUUUGGUUCAAGUAUGUCACAUCGAAGCACUCUUUCAUUACUUGGGUUGCAAUGAAGGGGAGGCCUGCAACAGGAGAUCGCAUGAGGCAUUGGAGUGGGUUGGUGGACAGAUCUUGUGUCUUAUGCAAUGAUCCUUUGGAAACAAUGGAGCAUUUAUUUUUUGAGUGUGAGUAUUCUGCUCAAAUUUGGAAACAGAUGAUGGAAGGGGUGUUGCUACACAAGUAUACAAAUCAAUGGGAGAGGAUAAUGAGGAUCAUGAUAAUGCCGCAGGGGAGUAAAGUGAAGUCUUUUGUUAUUAAGUACAUGUUUCAACUUGCUAUUCACACAAUCUGGAGGGAAAGAAAUCGAAGGCGGCAUGGGGAGAGCCCCUCUCCUGUGAAUAUUUUGGCAAGUUUGAUAGACAAGGGGAUGAGAAACAAGCUCACUAUCAUUCAGAGGAGAAAGGAUAAAGAUUUGGAGGGAGGGAUGAUCUAUUGGCUUAGUACCAGAAUUUGAAGUUUGUUUUUUUUAUCAUUGGUUUUGAGCUUUUCUAUUUUACUUUGGGAGUUAGUUAUAGUAGAAGGAGAUAGGGUUUUCAUUUUUUUUUUUGUCAACAACAUUACAGACUCAUAUUGACUCUGUAAACCACACCGGGAGAUAUUAAUCCAUGUGAACGACGAAAGACGUUUGUUUCCUGACACUGCGUGCUAGGUUAUCUGCCUUUGUAUUUUGCGUUCUUGGUACAUGUAUAAUCUCUGAUCGUGUGAAGCUCUCUUUCAGACUCUCUUUCAGACUCUUGAUAGGGUUUUCAUUUUGACAGGUAACACUUGAUGUAACAAGGUUAUUUCUUCUUUGAAUUCAGUUUAACAUUCAAUUCAAAAAAAAAUUAAAAUAGAUAUUUCGAACAACAAAUACUAUUAUCAGAAUUUUUUAAUUUACCAAUAAACAAUGAUAUCAUUAAAAAAAAUAUUGUCAUAUUGUUUGUUGUUUUUGAUUAAAAUAAGAAUGAUAUAAUGGUACAUGAUUUAUUUAUAAAAUCAUUUAGAAAUAAAACAUACCUUGAAAAAAAAAAUAAAGCACCUCAAAAUGUAAUUAAAUACAAAAUUAUAUAUACAAUAAUAUAAAUAGAAGUCAUUAUAUAGCUACAUGUAUUUAUAUAUUAUAAAAAAAAUCAACACAAUUUAAAAAUAUAUAAAUACAACCGCCACUCUAAAUACAAAAAAAAUAAAUACCUAUUUUGACAAGAAGAAAUAAAUACUCACACCAAUUUUUUUUAAAUAACUUCCAAAAAGAACUUUUUUAAACCAAACAAUUUUGUUGCAUUUCCAACACAAUUAUAUGAUACCUCAUAACAAAACCAACAAUGGGUCUUUACAAAAAUGUGGAAUUUAUGCCUGGAUUUAAGAUGGGAGUAUCUCAUUGGUUGAGCCAUAUAUGGCAAAGUUAAUUUAGAGUUUUUUUUUUCAAAGAAAAUGGCAUAAGAAUGUAAAUAACUCAAAAAAUAUGAGGGCAAAAUCCUAGUAGAGAUUCCGCUUUAAUAGUAUAGAUAUAUUUUUCAAUAUGAUUACCACACAAUAGUUUGAAAAUUUCUAUAACCAACUUAAUAAGGAAAAAAAGAGUUGAACACAAAUAUGAUAACCAGACACUAAUUAGAAAAAAAAACCAGUCAAACAAAUCUAAUCAAUUUUUAAGGAUUACAAUGCAAGACAUGCAUUACUAAUUAGAUUGUUCUAUCUAUAAAUUAAUCAUGAUCUUAAAUAGAAAUUACAACCAUCAAACUAGUAAAUCAAAAAAUAAAAAUUCUAAUAAACGUCUGUUUCUUUAUCGUAAUAAUAUCACGAAGAACGAUAUGUCUUCAUCACAUCUUGCUAUUUUUUGCGUCAUUCUGAUUGCAUUAUUUCCACUUCAUGAAUGUAUGUGUUUAUACUAGUUUCCCUUUUCUCAUCAUAUAUCAAUAUUAUCCUUGCAAUCACAUCAUGAUAUCCAAGUGAUAUUGUUGUUGCUUUUUUGUUUAUAUAGUUGUCGAUGGCCAAGGUGCUAAUGCGGGAUUUUGCGUACCAGUCAAUUGCGACACUAAUGACAAAAAUCGCAGUUGUGCUACCUGUCACAUUGCCUCGCCACGCAAGACACUUAGUUUCAAGAGCUUAGCAGAAUGUAAGGCUGGGUGCAAGGCAUAAGUUAACUCGAGGCGUGCAAAUAGCACUGAAUAAACGUUUUAUUUAACACGUAAUUUAUCUGCUUCCGAUUUUAACUACAAUACAGAAUCUUAUUUUGAGUCCAAUAAAUCAAAUUUAUGCCUAUUGUAUAUGUGUUUAGAGAUUUCC
rnacentral:lncRNA from 1 species